rnacentral:rRNA from 1 species
GAUGAACGCUGGCGGCGUGCUUAACACAUGCAAGUCGAACGGUGAAGCAGAGCUUGCUCUGUGGAUCAGUGGCGAACGGGUGAGUAACACGUGAGCAACCUGCCCCUGACUCUGGGAUAAGCGCUGGAAACGGCGUCUAAUACUGGAUAUGAGCUGCGACCGCAUGGUCAGCAGUUGGAAAGAUUUUUCGGUCUGGGAUGGGCCCACGGCCUAUCAGCUUGUUGGUGAGGUAAUGGCUCACCAAGGCGUCGACGGGUAGCCGGCCUGAGAGGGUGACCGGCCACACUGGGACUGAGACACGGCCCAGACUCCUACGGGAGGCAGCAGUGGGGAAUAUUGCACAAUGGGCGAAAGCCUGAUGCAGCAACGCCGCGUGAGGGAUGACGGCCUUCGGGUUGUAAACCUCUUUUAGCAGGGAAGAAGCGAAAGCGACGGUACCUGCAGAAAAAGCGCCGGCUAACUACGUG